GAAUGUGAGGGCGAUCUGGCUCAGAUAUCUGUCAUCCCACUGAUCACCAGAGUUGAUUUGGCUGAUUUGACUGGCUAGGCGGGUGUCCCCUUGUCUCCCUCAAUGCUCCAUGUGCGUCCCUCAGUGGAAAAGGAUGACCACCCCGACAGAGAAGGACCGUUCCUGGGUCAAGUGUAUAUGAGUAGCUGUGCUUCCCUGCCAGAACCUUCAAACAAGCUAUCAAGAUGAAGUUUUAUUUUUUUUCCUGUAAAAGCCAUGAAGUAGGCAGUUUUUAAAGUUAUUAGUGAGUCAGGUUCUUCCUGUCUUUCUGUUUUA
rnacentral:snRNA from 1 species